UUCACUGGCAAUGGGCAAAGAGACACUUUGUUGGUGGUGGUGUUCUUAUAUCAAUUGGGGCAGAGCAGAUGGCAGUCCUUUGUUCAUCCUAGCUAGAUGCCUGGCCUGAUGGCCAAAGUGACUUUAUGCCUAGGACUCAAAA